AAGCUCGGUAGUUGAAUUUCGGGGCCAGUAGGUUGGUCGUGCCACUGGUAUGCACUGGCCUUAUUGGUCUCUCCCUCUUGAAGAACCGUAAUGCCAUUCAUUUGGUGUUGCGGGGAAACAGGACUGUUACUUUGAAAAAAUUAGAGUGCUUAAAGCAGGCUAACGCUUGAAUACAUUAGCAUGGAAUAACGGAAUAGGACGCUUGAUUCUAUUUUGUUGGUUUCUAGGAUCAACGUA
rnacentral:rRNA from 1 species